rnacentral:rRNA from 1 species
GACGAACGCUGGCGGCGUGCUUAACACAUGCAAGUCGAGCGGAAAGGCCCUUUGGGGUACUCGAGCGGCGAACGGGUGAGUAACACGUGAGUAAUCUGCCCUGCACUCUGGGAUAGCCACCGGAAACGGUGAUUAAUACCGGAUAUGACAUAUCGACGCAUGUUGGUGUGUGGAAAGUUUUUUCGGUGUGGGAUGUGCUCGCGGCCUAUCAGCUUGUUGGUGGGGUAAUGGCCUACCAAGGCUUCGACGGGUAGCCGGCCUGAGAGGGUGACCGGUCACACUGGGACUGAGACACGGCCCAGACUCCUACGGGAGGCAGCAGUGGGGAAUAUUGGACAAUGGGCGAAAGCCUGAUCCAGCAACGCCGCGUGAGGGAUGACGGCCUUCGGGUUGUAAACCUCUUUCAGCGCAGACGAAGCGAAAGUGACGGUAUGCGCAGAAGAAGGACCGGCCAACUACGUGCCAGCAGCCGCGGUAACAC